AUUCAGCGGCGCUGGCUGGAGCUGAGAUGGAAGUUAGUUUCUAUGUAGCAGAAAUAUGAAACAAAUGAAGCAAAACUGCCCAGAGAGGGGAAAUGCCCCAAGGAUGGGUCUCACUCACGCGCGUACACAGACACACACGCAGAGAGCACUCUCACGCUGGGCAAGCUCGGGAUCGCGCUACCCUUCCCGAGUUGAAUGAUAGUGUUUGGUUUCUGUCUCUUGCCAUGUGCAUGUGUAUAAAUGCUGCGGAUUGGCAUCUGUGUAAGUCUUGUCCUGCGUUAUUUCUGCAGCCUAUGCAAGUGUUGUGUAAUUUAUUGGAGUGCUGUAUAUUGCAAUAGAGGUUUGGGCUGCUUUUUGUUAAGCACUUGCGUUUUGCAAACCCGUUAUUUGCUGAAGCCACCUCUGCAUAUUUCUUUUAUUACUGCCAUUGCCUUUGGCGUACGUUUUUUAAAUGUUUUUUAUUGUUAAACGGGCAAAGCGAACUCUUGAUUUGUACUUCAGAUACUCUUUUUCCUUAUUACAAAAAGGCUAGUGAUGGCUAAUUAGGUAUUUGGAAUUAAAGAACCUUAAAGCUUUUUUAAGUGUUUACGAGAAGGGAGAAUGUAAACCUGAGGGAAAGGAAAGGACGCUAAUAUUCAUGUCUAACUGAUCUGGAGGUAAUUUAGUGACAGAUCGAUAACCUGCCUAAGGAUAUUGAAAGAGUAUACUACAGUUUAGCCAAGGUGAAUAGUGAUUAAAUAAUUUAAAUAAUCUGUGUAUCUUGCAGUUGACUUCGUCAUGCUAAUUAAUGGCUUCUAAUUUGAGAUGUAAACCAUUCCUGUUUACAGUUAAUCACGGGAAGACUUCUUGAAAACUGACGAAAAGGAGAAAAAAAAAUCUUUCGUAAAUUAGUAUGUAAUUACCGAUUUUAUAUGCUAAAUCAUACAUCUGUGUUUUGCUGAUGAGGAUAAGGGCCUUGUUUUUAAAAAAACGAAUAUGGGUGAAAUUAAUGGAAACAAUAGAAAAAGCCAUUUGUUAGAAAACAAGGACACCAAAUGAUAUUUAUCUCCAGAUGAUUUAAGCACUUUCCAAAAAGACUUGAGAGUUCAAUAUUUUUUAAGGAUUGCAUUUUAAAGGGAAUUUGGAUAGUCGUUCUUUUGUUAACAUUUAACAAAAGAUUCUCCUUAAAAAUGUUAGAUAAUAAACUGCAUUUUAUGGGUCUGGUUUAAAAAGGUUAUUUGUGGGGAAAGGACCAACAAGCUGUAUUGUGGUUUUCUAGAUUGUUUCCUCAAGCCUUGUAACCUCCUAGCUCCUUACAUUCCUAGUGGGAAAUACUUGCUGCAAAUGCCUUGGGCUGCA
rnacentral:lncRNA from 1 species